GGACGUGUAUAUAAAGGGCUUCUUGAGAGCACUGGUCAGGUUGUUGCUGUUAAACAAUUGGAUAGAAAUGGCCUCCAGGGUAAUAGGGAAUUCCUGGUAGAGGUUCUCAUGCUCAGCCUUUUGCAUCAUCCUAAUCUUGUGAACCUGAUUGGCUAUUGUGCUGAUGGAGACCAAAGGCUUCUUGUUUACGAAUUUAUGCCCUUGGGAUCAUUAGAAGAUCACCUUCACGAUCUUCCACCUGAUAAGGAACCUCUUGAUUGGAACACAAGAAUGAGGAUAGCAGCAGGUGCUGCCAAAGGUUUGGAAUACCUGCAUGAUAAAGCAAAUCCACCUGUUAUAUACAGGGAUUUCAAGUCAUCCAACAUUUUACUUGAUGAAGGAUUUCACCCAAAGCUUUCUGACUUUGGGCUUGCCAAGCUUGGCCCUACUGGAGACAAGUCACAUGUUUCCACCAGAGUUAUGGGCACUUAUGGAUAUUGUGCUCCUGAAUAUGCCAUGACUGGACAAUUGACUGUUAAAUCUGAUGUCUACAGUUUUGGGGUAGUCUUCUUAGAGCUCAUUACUGGGCGUAAAGCUAUUGACAGUACUCGUCCACAUGGAGAGCAGAACCUUGUCACAUGGGCUCGUCCAUUAUUCAAUGAUCGUAGGAAAUUUUCAAAAUUGGCAGAUCCACGAUUGCAGGGGCGUUAUCCCAUGAGGGGACUCUACCAGGCUCUAGCAGUGGCUUCCAUGUGCAUUCAGGAACAGGCUGCAGCACGUCCUCUCAUUGGGGAUGUGGUCACUGCUCUCUCUUAUUUGGCAAACCAGGCAUAUGAACCUAAUUCGGCUGCGCAUGGCUACCGUGGUUCUGGGGAUAAGGAUGAGGGAAGAAAUAAAGAUGAGAGAGGUGGACAGUUAUCGAAGAGUGAGGAAGGGGGAGGAUCUGGACGCAGAUGGGACUUGGAUGGGUCUGAGAAAGAAGAUUCCCCGAAAGAAACUGCAAGAAUGUUAAACAGGGACUUAGAUAGAGAACGAGCUGUUGCUGAAGCUAAGAUGUGGGGAGAGAACUGGCGAGAAAAAAGACGACAAAGUGCUCAAGGUAGUUUCGAUGGCAGUAAUGGGUAGUACCCAGGCAUCUUUCCUCCAUCUUCUCUCUUUCUGACUUCAAACCAGGCUCAUGAAGAAGCAUUAAAAGCUAAGCUUGAG
rnacentral:misc_RNA from 1 species